rnacentral:rRNA from 1 species
GACGGGCCCGCACAAGCAGCGGAGCGUGUGGUUAAUUCGAUGUUACACGAAGAACCUUACCAGGGUUUGACAUGCAAGUGGUAGGAAGCCGAAAGGUGACCGACCCUUCGGGGAGCUUGCACAGGUGCUGCGUGGCUGUCGUCAGCUCGUGUCGUGAGAUGUUCGGUUAAGUCCGCUAACGAGCGCAACCCUCGCUGUGUGUUAUAUGUGUCACACGGGACUGCCGGUCUUAAGCCGGAGGAAGGUGGGGAUGAUGUCAAGUCAGCAUGGCCUUUAUAUCCUGGGCUACACACACGCUACAAUGGCCAACACAAUAGGUUGCUAAGCCGCGAGGUGGCGCCAAUCCAUAAAGUUGGUCUCAGUUCAGAUUGUAGGCUGCAAUUCGCCUGCAUGAAGUCGGAAUCGCUAGUAAUCGCAGGUCAGCAUACUGCGGUGAAUACGUUCCCGGGCCUU